rnacentral:rRNA from 1 species
AACGUAGGAGACAAACGUUAUCCGGAGUUACUGGGCGUAAAGGGCGUGUAGGUGGUUUUAUAAGUCUGGCGUGAAAUUUCUCGGCUUAACCGAGGCAGGUCGUCGGAUACUAUGAGACUAGAGGACGGUAGAGGCGUGUGGAAUUCCGGGUGUAGUGGUGAAAUGCGUAGAGAUCCGGAGGAACACCAGUGGCGAAGGCGACACGCUGGGCCGUACCUGACACUGAUGCGCG